rnacentral:rRNA from 1 species
GGCGGACGGGUGAGUAACACGUUGGGUAACCUUGCCUGUAAGAACUUGGGAUAACUCCGGGAAACCGGAGCUAAUACCGGAUAGUUCCUUGAACCGCAUGGUUCAAGGAUGAAAGACGGUUUCGGCUGUCACUUACAGAUGGACCCGCGGCGCAUUAGCUAGUUGGUGGGGUAAUGGCUCACCAAGGCGACGAUGCGUAGCCGACCUGAGAGGGUGAUCGGCCACACUGGGACUGAGACACGGCCCAGACUCCUACGGGAGGCAGCAGUAGGGAAUCUUCCGCAAUGGACGAAAGUCUGACGGAGCAACGCCGCGUGAGUGAUGAAGGUUUUCGGAUCGUAAAGCUCUGUUGUUAGGGAAGAACAAGUGCGAGAGUAACUGCUCGCACCUUGACGGUACCUAACCAGAAAGCCACGGCUAACUACGUGCCAGCAGCCGCGGUAAUACGUAGGUGGCAAGCGUUGUCCGGAAUUAUUGGGCGUAAAGGGCUCGCAGGCGGUUUCUUAAGUCUGAUGUGAAAGCCCCCGGCUCAACCGGGGAGGGUCAUUGGAAACUGGGAAACUUGAGUGCAGAAGAGGAGAGUGGAAUUCCACGUGUAGCGGUGAAAUGCGUAGAGAUGUGGAGGAACACCAGUGGCGAAGGCGACUCUCUGGUCUGUAACUGACGCUGAGGAGCGAAAGCGUGGGGAGCGAACAGGAUUAGAUACCCUGGUAGUCCACGCCGUAAACGAUGAGUGCUAAGUGUUAGGGGGUUUCCGCCCCUUAGUGCCGCAGCUAACGCACUAAGCACUCCGCCUGUGGAGUACGGUCCCAAGACUGAAACUCAAAGGAAUUGACGGGGGCCCGCACAAGCGGUGGAGCAUGUGGUUUAAUUCGAAGCAACGCGAAGAACCUUACCAGGUCUUGACAUCCUCUGACAACCCUAGAGAUAGGGCUUUCCCUUCGGGGACAGAGUGACAGGUGGUGCAUGGUUGUCGUCAGCUCGUGUCGUGAGAUGUUGGGUUAAGUCCCGCAACGAGCGCAACCCUUGAUCUUAGUUGCCAGCAUUCAGUUGGGCACUCUAAGGUGACUGCCGGUGACAAACCGGAGGAAGGUGGGGAUGACGUCAAAUCAUCAUGCCCCUUAUGACCUGGGCUACACACGUGCUACAAUGGACAGAACAAAGGGCUGCAAGACCGCAAGGUUUAGCCAAUCCCAUAAAUCUGUUCUCAGUUCGGAUCGCAGUCUGCAACUCGACUGCGUGAAGCUGGAAUCGCUAGUAAUCG